GCUGUAGCUCAGUGGCAGAGUGCCUGCCCAGCAUGAGGGAAGCCCUGGGUUCCAUCCUCAGCGCAAGCG
rnacentral:tRNA from 1 species